rnacentral:rRNA from 1 species
AUUGAACGCUGGCUGCAGGCCUAACACAUUCAAUUCGAGCUGAGCGGCUGCCGGGUGAGUAAUGCCUAGGAAUCUGCCUGUUAGUGCGGUAUAACGUCCCGAAACGGGCGCUAAUACCGCAUACUAUCAUCUCAGCCUAGGUCGGAUUAGCUAGUUGGUGGGGUAAAGGCCUACCACGGCGACGAUCCGUAACUGGUCUCAGAGGAUGAUCAGUCACACUGGAACUGAUACACGGACCAGACUCCUACGGGAGGCAGCAGUGGGGAAUAUUGGACAAUGGGCGAAAGCCUGAUCCAGCAAUGCCGCGUGUGUGAAGAAGGUCUUCGGAUUGUAAAGCUCUUUAAGUUGGGAGGCGUUACCAAAAGAAUAAGCACCGGCUAACUUCGUGCCAGCAGCCGCGGUAAUAC